GAGUUUGAUUAUGGCUCAGGAUGAACGCUAGCGAUAGGCUUAACACAUGCAAGUCGAGGGGCAGCAUGAUCUUAGCUUGCUAAGGUUGAUGGCGACCGGCGCACGGGUGCGUAACGCGUAUGCAACUUGCCUUACAGAGGGGGAUAACCCGUUGAAAGACGGACUAAUACCGCAUACACUUGUUUGGUUGCAUGAUCGGGCAAGGAAAUAUUUAUAGCUGUAAGAUAGGCAUGCGUCCCAUUAGCUGGUUGGUGAGGUAACGGCUCACCAAGGCUACGAUGGGUAGGGGAACUGAGAGGUUUAUCCCCCACACUGGUACUGAGACACGGACCAGACUCCUACGGGAGGCAGCAGUGAGGAAUAUUGGUCAAUGGGCGAGAGCCUGAACCAGCCAAGUCGCGUGAAGGAAGACUGUCCUAAGGAUUGUAAACUUCUUUUAUACGGGAAUAAACGGGCGAUACGUGUAUUGCUAUGAA
rnacentral:rRNA from 1 species